rnacentral:snRNA from 1 species
GUCAGGUGGGGAGUUUGG